AAAGACUCAAUUCCUGAGUUUUAGCAUUCAACGUUAAACCAUUCAUCUUAUAUAAAUUCUUUUUAUGAUUAAUAUUUUUAUUAUUAUUAGAUGAUAAAACAUGAAUAAUACUUUAUGCAUGAUUUAUCUUUUUAAAUUUUUUUAUAACUUUUUCAAAUAAGACGUAUGGUCAAACGUUAGACACGAAAAUUCAGGAAUUGAGUUUUU
rfam:Oryza meridionalis cultivar OR44 (W2112) chromosome 3, whole genome shotgun sequence.